ACGAAUUAAGUGUGAAGUGGGCGUGAAAGCCUGUGGUAUGAUGGUCGUGUGGUUUCGUUUUUAUGUUUAGCAGUACGCUAGCCGAGUCAAUCCAAGCUCGAUUGCCUAAAAGGUCACGUGGGUUUUGUUUUAUUUGCUUCCUCCAUAUGAUCGCCCACGAUUGAGUCGGACGUAUGUCAGUGCGGCAUAGUGGAACACUUGCGACAAGCGCAGCAUAAUUUGUGCCAGUGACGGGGUAUUGUGCACCGGUCACGUAGGAAGUCACGAUGCACCCGACGACGCUCGCCUGAGGAGGGCACCGCUGCGUCAAGUCUACACCGCGGGUGAAGCGACAGCACAGGUAACCUAAUAAGAUGGAGGCCAUGCAGGACUGCAACUUGGAUCAUCUGCUGCCGCCUGAGGUUUGGAUGCGAAUACUGAGGUUCGUCGACCCGGAAGACAUUCUGGCUAUCGCGGACGUGUCGCCCCUUUUGGCGAGUUUUACGAGCGACCGCUCGGUCGUGGGCACAGUCCGUUUCUCGGCGGAAACUCUUUCGGAGGACACGCUGAGCCGCUUCCUGCGGGCACCUCGCGCCGCGGCCAUUUCCAACCUGGAUCUCACGAACUGCGUUCUGCCGCCGUCGACCAUCGUCGAGCAGGGACUGGCACGCUGCGUCAACCUCACAACUCUUCGUUGCGUCAACUGUCGCCUGAGCAGUCGUGCGCUGUUCCAGCUCGUGCUGACCAGGCUGGACAAACUGGAGCUUCUCCACUGGUCGCUGCUGGGCUGCCGCGAGGGCCGCGAUGAGAUGAGGCCUGCCCUGAUGGUGCUCGACUCCAAGAACAGCCGGGGCACGUCGGGCAUCCGUUCCAUGUACGUCGAGCUGGUCGAGAGCGCCGUCCACGUGCACACGCUGGCCCGGUUCCUGCCGCGCUGUCCGCGCCUGCGGGACCUGCACGUGCACGUGCUGGGAGCGAGCAGCUGCGAGGGCUGCUCGCCCGGCGCCCCGACGACGUACGGCGACCGCCCUCUGGCCGAGCUCGAGCGUUUCACGUACACGACGGACGCGGCGAGAGGCCGCUGCCCGUACGCAUCGCGCUCGGCGUUCAUCGAGUCCCGCGAGCUGUGGCACCUUCUGCUGGGUGACGACGAACCGCUCGUGCAGGCGUUCCGGGGCUACGCGACGCUGUGCAACAACGUCGCGCUGCGCCUGCGUCCGCACAAGUCGCGCAGCUGCGUCCACCUCUCUGAGCUGCUGGUGCCCGCGAGCGACGAGGCCUCGAUGCCCCAGAUGUGCGUCACCGUCGACGAGCCGGGCCAGCUGUCGGCGGCCGCGACGGCUCGGGGCGACCGCUGGUCGUCGCUAGACGCCCUGACGCUCCUGUCGCCGCUGCCGCUGAACCGGCCCACGUUCCCUCCCGGCGUGGGGGCCCUGUACGAGGCCCCGCUCAAGACCCUGCUGGGGGCCUGCUCGGCGCUGGGCGAGCUCAACCUCAGCCGCUUCCACUUCACGCCGGACCUGUCGUGCUGCGCCCUGCUGGCCUCGGCGUGUCUGCGUCACCUGAGGGCACUGUCGCUGCCGGCGUGCGCCCUGGCCGAGCCCAACUCGAUCGAGGACCUGGCCCGCGCUCCUUUCACCCUGCAGGAGCUGGACGUCCGCGGCAGCGCCACCACCGCGCACAGCGUGUGCGCCGUGUGCAGCGACCCGCGCACGUGCGGCGACGCGUCGCUCGCGCCGCUGGCGCUGCUGGGACCGCUGCGCCGGCUGACGCUGUGCGGCCUCAGCAACGUGCACAGCGUGCAGUUCCUGGCCGGCUGUCGGGUGCGCGAGCUGCGGCUGUCCCACCUGGGACGCAGGGGCCUGUGCUGCUACACCCAGGGGCUGGGCACCGUGCUGGCAGCCCAGGCGGACGGCCUCCGCGUUCUCAAGAUGGAGCACUCAGCGCUAACGCUCAGCUCGCACCUUCUGCUGGACCAGAUCACCAAGGCCUCGUCCCUGGAGCUUCUGUGCCUCACUUCAAACACUCCGUUGCGGCCUGCGGAACAGCAGCAUUUACUCGACAUGCUCGUGCCGCGGCUCCGACAGCUGCGUGCACUGCAUGUUCAUGCCCCGGGUGUGCGGCCUCUUCCGCGCCGUCUGCAGGGCCAGCCACGGAUCCACUUUGAUGGCAGCAAUGGCGACGACGCCAACCCCACCAUCGUCUUCACAAAUGAGCUCAGCAUCCUCUGCCGCGCAUCCAAUUUCAUUGGUCUCACCAAGCCGUACAACAGGGACCCCCAGCCCGUGCCAAUGGAAGCCGUCAAGGGCUGAAAGGUUUGAUGUGAGCUUAGCCACACCCUUCACCGGAGGGGAAAGACAGGUUGGGUUUGUUGCCAGCUGGUCUCGAAUGAGACUGCGGCAACAGCAUUAACUAGGGGCAUGUUCUUGCUGGUCUGCUACUCAGGCAUGUUACAUGUUAUUGCGAAAGGCAGGUGCACUGAUGGUGAAGAGCUGUUCCUUCAUUGUUGCCUUAUGUGGCUUUGGUGAGAGAAGUACCGUGUGUAACAUUAACCGCUCCUUUUGUUUACCGUAGCAUGGUUUCUCUUGGUGGCUGUAAAGCAUCACGCUAGCAUAGACAAUGAAGGAUUUGAUGCUAAAGGACGUGGAAGUGGGCUUCCUCGGGGACCUUUUUUUGUGGUUACGAUCCUGAAAAAAAGAAGGGGAAGGGGUUGGAAGAGAAAGAGAGGAGAAAUAAUGACUCAGCCUUGUUGCAACGUGAACAUAAAAUACCAGCCUUGUCACCUCUCCUUGUUGCAUGUCUCGUGGUUCAACGUGUGCAAAGUGAAUCCCUAGUCUUUUGCUGCUGUGACCUUGCAGUUCUAGCGUUGUGAAUAGAAAUGAGAAGGUGGCGAAUGAUAUAGCCCUCCUUGUUACACUGCUAUGGUCACGGCAAGCACAAAUUGCCUCAAAGGCGCCUCGCAAUACCUUUCAGUCUGAACAGAACAGGUCCUUGCCUGCUAGCUUCUUUGUUUUCCCACAUUGGCCUAGUUUUGUGGACUGCGGAAGAGAUGAGCGUCGUGCGCAGAUCAAGUUUCUCUGCAAUCAUUUCACAUAAUCAGUUGGAAGAGAAAGAAUGCUGCACAGACACAGCCUUCUGUUCAGGACAACGCGGCGUUCACAGAAAGAUGGAGGCUUGAAGUGGUGAACAGAGUUUGAACAAAAGAGGAGUCAGACUGGAACCGAUGUUUCACCAAGGGGACUUGUCUAGACAAGUUUCUUUGUUGAAUCACUGGCUUUAGAGACAUUCCUUGCUUGACCACCAUUGAUUAUUUUUGUCUUCCGUUCAUUGCAGACCUCUGCAGUUGUCUUUGGCAGCCACGUCGCGCCAGCUUUGGACAACUUUUUUCAGUGUAGCCAGCAGGCAGCUAGGUCUCAAAUAUGCCAGCACUCUUCAGGCUGACAGCAUUGAUACAGUGCAGAAAACAGAGAUGAUGAAGGAAAAAAAAUGACAUGGACGCCUUGUGUGUGUUAUCUGCUAUAAAUAUUGAAAUGCUCGUUGGAAUCAGUAUUGGAGCAUAGGCCCUCCUUGCCACAUCAUGGGAGAACAUUAGUGGUGGAAACAUGGCCUCAUUUGCCUCGUUAUUGUGAUGUGAUUGACACAUCAGCAGUAGUAGAUGUGCUUGAUGAAAGGUUGGUGCAGUAGUGAGCGGAAAAUCAUUUAGAACUUUGGCUUGUGCAGUAUUUGCUGAAUCUUUUUUUUUUUCCUGACUUGUUGUCAGCAGUGUUAAAUGCUGUCUCCUUCGCUGCCUUGUAGCAGCAGGCGUGGAAGAUACGUGCAAAGUGCUUUCAAUGACGGCGAGGUCUCGCAACUUGCUCAGUUACAGGCCUGCAAGUGAACCCAUUGCAACUUGCAUCGCAUGUCGCAGUCGCGAACAUUUGGCGUGUGCUUUGUGCUGAGUUGACUGUAGAUGUGAACUGCAGUCGUGACCACUCUUGAACACUGGCAAUCUUUCACACACGUCGACUGUUGGUGUUUCGUAAGUUAGCCUUAAUAGCUGCACAGAAAACUCUGCCAUAAUAGCCUGGGCCAUAUAACUGUGUGGAAGCGGCUUUGCAAAAAUGUCAGGCGCACCUCCCAUAAGCACUUAUAUUUUUGUGUCAUGUAUUUUUAUAGUGCAUUGAAGCAUUGCACUGGCCCUUACGUCAUGCAAAUGUGAAAGUAUUCCCGAAAGUGAUUGACUGGGAAUACAGCCCCAUGUGAUAUUAUUAGGACACGGUCCGUCACUCUUUCAGCCACAUGAACCAUGAAGACGGCUGAGCACUUGAACUUGCCUUGGCUACGCUGUCGAACAGCCCCGCUGCGAUGCUGGCAGAGUACUAAAGACAGCGGCUGCAUUUAGUACUAUGCAUGAAGCAUAAGAUGUACUGUCCUACUCUACCUAAAGCAAGCAAGCUGUAAUUAAAGGACUCUCUAAUAGCCAGUGCACAACUGCUUGUGCUUAAAAGCAUCAAAUACAGUGAAAUCCACUUACAUUAUAAUGAGUGCAAUAGUUCUGUGGAAAGCAGUCACGGUAGCUUUGUUAUAUCUGGGUCAGCUGUGGUGUAACUCGUAUACAGUCUGUAUACACUGAUAUAUUGUCAUACGUGAGGUCACUUGUAAGUUGGUUCAACUGUAUGCCAGAAAUUAGCGGGGAAAGGCAUUCCUACAACGUUUCUUUGUGUGGUUUGGCAUAUCACAGCCUAUUCUAGCUCUGUAAAACACAAUGUGCAUUCUGGUUGCUGCUGUGGCAUGCUAGUAUACUAGCACUAGUAUACUGAUCAUACUAGUAGUAAUGAGCUAGUUAAAAGGGAGGAGGGGGAUAUUUUCCUUCUAAGGUUUCUUACGUGUUUGACCUUCGACUGGACUCUGCUGACAGGCAUAUUGGCGUGAGGCAGUAGCAGCCAGGCUGUGUUAAUGUCAGCUCAGUUAUUCCCACAUCUUAGUUCAGUGAUUUCGCUGGCCUUGUAGUUAUUAGAAGCAGUGGGGAAAGAUAUGUGCAGACCGAAAUUUGAGUACAGGUGUCUAUACAGGUUGCUGCUGUCUGUUGGCAUUCCAGCAAAAAAAAAAAAAAAAACCUAAUAUUUCUUGUAGGGUACCAGUAACACUGUUACUGAAUAAGGUGUGUUGUGUUUUUUUCAGUAGUGCGCUUUCACAUUGGGUAUUAGAAGCUUCCUUAGCAGGCACUAACCUUAACAAUCUCCUUAUGGCUCUAAUAACCUCAGGUUCUAUUUUUCAUUGUUUUUGUUUUGUGGUGAAGCAAGGAUCUUCUGCUUAAAUUGAAGGCUUGCUUUAAUGCUGGUGUACAGUGUAAUUGUGUUGCAUCAAUUUUGGCUGAGGAAAAAAAAGAGACAGUGGGCACAACGUAUUUUAAGGACAGAAUUUGGUCAGACUUUGAGAUUGUCCUCCCUGAAAGCCCCUGCGCUGUAUACUGACAUACUGCGAAUUAUUACUUGGUUGUAUGCAAUCCUUUAUGGCAUCACUAUACACAUAUGAAAAGUCUGCAGUCCUAACCACACACAAACAUCCGUCAUUGCCAGAAUUGGGUGGCUAGAAAUUCCAUUGAUCCUGCAUUAAAUGAUGCAGCCUGCAGGAUGUCAUGCUUCUAGGCUUAGCUAGUGGUAUAGUAACUGCACCAAAAUUGGCUACUUUAGUUUUGGCAAGCCAAUACAAGCUAAAGCUAUGUGUCCGAUGAAUGGAGCUUUGGUUGGAUCACUGUCUGUGAAUGUGCUAGAAGUUGGCAAUGUGUCUUAUAUAAACUUCGUCAGUUUCACUCGUUGCUUGGGGCAAGCAGUGUUUCACCCAAUGCUGAAGUCUGGUGUGGAUCUCUGACCAGUUACUUGAGUGUGGGUUGGAAGCAAAACAGAGUUGCACUAGUUUUGUGUUCAUUUCACACUUGAACAGCGAAAAAAACUCUAGAACAAGCACGAAAAGAAAAGAACAGCGUUGUCUCAUCAGUUCUGCUGUUUUUGUACUUGUUUGAGCCAUUGCUGUUUUCCUAUAACUGAGACAGAAGGCACAGCUGUCUAAAUUUCUUUCUUCAUUCGGUCUUUAUGUCGAUGUCUUCUCUCAAUAUUGCUUUUUCUGACUCGUAGCCAACACAUGAAGGGUCUGUGCCCCUGAGCAUCAUCUAGGUUCUUUGUUCGUGGGAUGUUAGUCAUCUAAGGGUGGAGGGACUUUCUCGUUCAUUGAAUAGCACAAAGUGGUGACGAUAUCUACCUAUUUGGUAGUCUUAUUUAACAAGGAAGGCAUGAGGUGAGACUUUCUUUUAACCAAUAAGAGUGAAAGGCUGAGCUGUUUGGUUUUGACGAAGGCUAAACUUUGCUCUAGCACUAAAGGGCCCCUCACCAGGCCCCAUAGCAAAUUUUGGUUAUCCACUAGAACUUGUAAAACGGUAAAAUGGAUGUUCUAGUGAAAUAACUUCUUUUAGUCCGUUCAUUAUUGUAGGAGGUAGAAGAAAUUAACUGUCCUGUUACCAUGCUGUCGCCAGGAGGUGAGUGUCACGGCCAACCAGUACACUCUCUCCCUCUGCCUCGAGUAGCUCCGGCAAGCGACAUUCUUUCCCUGCAUUCUCCCAUAUCAGAGGCGAGGGACUGCCUCACGUUUGUGCAUCAAGCCCCGCCUCCUUUCUUUUUCUUUCUUUUAUUCCUUUUUUUUUUUUGCUGCACAGCAAAUUCAAAGUGACGCCAUUGCACCUUCCUCAUUGAAUGAUUAACCGAAGUCACGUGCCACGGUGAGUGAUGUAGCUAGUACUGCAUUUGACGUUCGCGCAUUUGCACGUGUGACCUCGACUCUGGCUGAUGGUGGAGCUUCCUUGAAAGGGAGGGUGUGCAGCAUCUAGUUUGAAAUUUCAGCUGUUUUCAUGCCAUACAAUGCUGUAAUGCUUUGCAGACACGAUUAGCAGUGCGUGACGUCCACGCUACACCUGUCUGUUUAAAAUGGCCAAACCUUGUGAGGGGCCCUUCAAAAGGCAUGGAAAGACAAGACGCGGGAGAUUUUCAACGGCUGGUUUCAGCAGGUUUCUAAGCCAUCAUUUGAGAGCAUAGCAUAGGUCCUGUCGUCCACUAUUUGCUCAUCUGCUAGCACGGUAUCGGCAGACCACUGGCAAGACAAGGGAUCCAAAUGCCUUGUACAUAAACCUGCUUCUUCUGUCAUCAUUGUGAAGGAUCGCAGCUUGGCACAUAAAAGGAAGAAAGAGAAAUGAGUACUAACUUGAACUGUGGAAUCCCCGAUAAAGCUUUUCAUCGUUACAAAGUGAGGGAUGCCAAACACCUCAGUGUAUUGCUUGUGCAGAACAUUUGGCCGAUUCCUUCAGGAUCUAACUCCAUCACUGUAUCUUGAUUUUCUGGGAAAAGUAAAAGUUGAGAGUGCACAAGCACCAGCUAAAUGUCAAAAGCAUUGGCUUUCUUCUGUGCCUUCGGUGAAAGAUUGUAAUCAAACCAGUUGUGCAUUUUUUCUCUACUUCUGUUCCUCGAAAGCAUCAUAAAAUGGAAUCACAGCCACUGGAAAGUAAGAGCCUUAUUGAAGUAGAAGUUGUUUUCUCGGACAUCUUAGAAUGAAAUAUGCAGAAAAAUCUGAAAAAAAGAAAUGUAUCGUUGCUCAAGUAGGCUUGAAGAUGUAAGGUUAGUUAGUUCGAGCUUUUGAACACAGAGAGUAUCAGUCAGGCCUGCUUAUGGGGCACUGGACUUCAGAAACAUUCCACUGUGUAACGUGUCUCGUUUUGACUUGUGUGCCUUUCAAAGUUGACUUAUUCAUGCCAGAUCAAGUCUUGUUUGCUCCUCUCUAUGCAGUAUUUGGCUUGUGCUCGGCCUUCUCCAAUACUUCAGUGCAAUUACCGUAUUUAUUCGAAUAUAAGGCGAGGUUUUUUCCCCAGAACUUUUAGCGUUGAAGUCGCCCCCUGUCUUAUACACAAAUUUUGCAGCGCGAAUUUCGUCUUGCAGUGUGGCUUUACGGCAAUGCGUGUUGUGGUGUCGUGAAGCCACACCUAAAGGCAGAAUUCACGUGUUGAAGCUCCCUUCCCAUAUUUCAUGGUCGCCAUUUUGCAUUUUGGCUGUGUUAGUAAUUCAGUAUUUCAGGCGAUCCCCUCCGAGUCUCGAUAAUCCGUCGGCUACUCUGUAUCGCCUUGUAUGGUGUGCAUACCCAAGUUUCUUUUUUUGUUUUGUUUUUUCUUGGGUCCUCCUAAUUGCACCCUAGCCUUAUAAUCGAAUAAAUACGGUAAGUGCGUUGCGCUGGUCCAUCCUGCCAGAUUCCUUGUUUAGAUGGCAAAAUAGAGACAGAAAGCUCCUUGCUGGCUGUAAAAUUGAUAAAAUGCUAACAGUUACAUCAUCAAAUUUGUGCUGUACUAGAAUACAAACAUAAAGGUGUUAGUCCUCACAUCAGUGACUAAUGAGUGUCAUUGGUAUUGAAAUGAGGGUGGAAAUGUGUGCCACUGCCUACAAAUAUUGUUGAUGCUUCACACUUACAAUGUGGACCACUGACAUACAGUUCUCUGUGAAUUGGGCCUGGAUUCGCACUGUUUGUACGCAAAAGUAUUUCGUUGGAAUGGGCACCAGCCGCUACCCAAUAAAAACAGAAGCAAAGCCAUGGGUUAAUGAUAAACAAUUCCCGCAGAUGAAACGCUUCAUUAGUUCAGCCCCUAAUAAAAUAGAGCUAAUAAACAAUAUGUCUUCUCUAUAAAGCACUCUGUUUAAAUUCCUUCAUUUCUUUGCUGUGAUGCUUUUGCAUAACUUGUUCUCUUGAGUAAGUCACUUCAUACUUACAGGACUAACCGUAGAAUUCAUGCGAAAGACUAAUGACAGGUAACCAGAUGACCUCAAUGGAUGUAGCAUUCAUCCUGUCGGCUUUCUUGUGUUUUCGUGUGAAUGCUGCAGUUAGUUCUUUAAGUAUGUGGCACUUUUAACUUGCUCGAUUCCGUACGUGCUUCUUUCCUUCUAUCCUUCACUCAGGUACGUGUUGUGGCGAUAGUAGUGACCCAUGGUUGUGCUCUUCAGCAUGUCGUCUGUGUGAAUAUCUCGCUGUUGUCUAGCUCUUCUUAAUGGUUGUUUGGAAUCACCACCAUUAUUACACAUGCACAUACUUUUUCCCCCCCAAUUACGUCUGUUGUUACUUCAUCUUGUACAAGGUAACGGCAAUUUGCAUGUUUCUUUUAUCUCUUUUUUGUCCAAGUUGUCCUAGUGGUAACCCUUUAGUGCUCCCUUAUUCUGUAAUACGUGCUUGCAGGCCUUGUACUUCCAGUACUUUUUUCUAAAUAACAUUAAUUUUCUGCUAAUUACUCUUAUGUCUACUGUUCCUGAGUAUUGUGCCCCGAUCCUCAGUGUCCUGCUGUACUCUUCUUGUGCAAACCUAUGGUGGCUGUAUUUCUUCGAUAUAGUAUAUAUCACACAUCUAUUUUCCGUAUUCAUGUCAUGGGCAGUUGAAACUGUACGUAUGGAAAAUGUUAGUGUUGCACUUUUUGACAUAUGCAUCUACCCCCAUUGAUAAUUAUCGUAAUUCUGGCAUACACCUACCUUCCUAAGCGUUUUCUCUUCACUGCUUAGGCAUGCAUUGUGUUAUACAGUGUACACCGCUUAUAACGUAAGUCACCUGAGUCGUGAAUGUCCGACAAUAAGCGGUACUGCACUAUAACCAAAAGAAUGAUUUUAUUGCGAUAGCAAUUAUACGGACACUCCAGACGCAUUUCUGCCAUCGCCAUGAGGUUCCGUAUUAAGUUCAAGGGCAAUAAAAUUGUCGUCGCGCGCCAUAUGCUGUAUGUGCGAAUGAAAGCUUGCGAGAGUGACCUGGCGAUCGCGGUUCAAUAUCGUGCACGCAAGGCAGGAAACCGGGAAGAAAGCGCGCCAUCUUCCAUUGUGUGCAAGGCUCCGGGCAGCCCAGGCGGGCACGCACUCCUGCUGGGGUUGCUCUAUCUUAAUAGCAAUCUGCAAAGGGGACACAGUCCGCCGUGCGCUGUGUUUUCACGGCUUAGUUCGUGUUGAUGAGAGACGCAGCGUAAAGGUUGAUUCGCUCGCUGCUACUGCCACGCUUCCUCACUAUAGCGUUUUGACAGCGAGUUUCCACAGUCAUCAAGUGAGAUGUGUUCAUGUUUGCGUGUGUGCGCGUGACACCAUGCUUGUUAAUGUACAGAGAACCACAGCUGCAGUCACGCUUUUGCGCGCUCCCGCCAUUGCGUCAUUCUGCUCGCUCCGCGUGAGGAAUGCAUGGCUGGUGGAGCGGGAGAAAAAUAGGAACGGAGCUAUUCACGCACUAGCAACGUUGGAACACACCCAACGGCGCCAGACACGCCGGUUGCGUCGUGUCGUUGGAGUAUGGACGCCAGUUGUUCGCCACCGUGAUGUCACAGAGCUCGACGCGCGCAUGCGGGCGUGUUACGUUGGAGUAUAUCUGCAGCUUGAGGGGAGCGUUUGCCGUCUCUGUUGACUGCUUAACUUUCAGGCAGCUAACUGUAACCGGUAUUUCGUCUCCUGCAACUGCCCUGUAAGCGAUACCGGUAUAUAUGGAGUGCUAUGGAAAAAUUAGCAGAAGUCUGAAAAGUCCUUAUUAUAUCUGGUCCUGCACUAUAAGCGCUUACGUUAUAAGUGGUCUAAUACUGUACAUGCAUGUAGUGUCAUGCAUUACUGCAUAACACUGUGCGUGCCUAGAAGACCCCCCUUCCCAAGUGUCGGCAAGGAACUCAACUUUUGUUGCACGUCAGCACAAGGAAGCACACUCUCAGAUGAUGGCAAUGAGUGCUGUGGUCUAAGCAUUAAGAGGUCAGUGUGUUACAAUUGGGGAAAACGUUACAGCUUUCAGCGUGGGCUUACGAUAGCAGACUACUUGCCUGUGCUUUACACUUCCAGCUUUGCCCCUCCUAUGCUCGUCUGUGUGAUGAUUGGUUGGUUGCUGUAUGUUGCGCAAAGUGCACUUUGCACUCCUGCAGAGCAUCCCUGUGAGUGGACAGCAGCAUUAAAAGGCACUGCCUUAGUUCGCUAUAGUUGCAAUGGCAGAAUGAUCGAUGGGUGCUCUGACUGCUCUACUCUCGAUGCCUCUGCACCUGUUUGACCACAGAAAUGUGCCAUUGGAAAUUUCACAUGUUUUGGGGUGCAUUUUUGUUGCACAACAGUAAUGGUAAUCAUUAGCACUCCUGUGGGCAUUCCCAUGCAUUUUUAAUGGCAAGCUACCGAUGCUUUCCUGUCAGGUAUUGCGUUCUGCAUUAGAUGCUCUGCACAUGUAAGCAUCGCUGACAAGUGCUGGGCUCAUAUGACAUUAAAAGAACCGUCAUGCCCACAGGAACUAUAUUUUAUUGUUGUUGUGUGCCAGAAGUAUAUACCAAAACUGGUAGAAGAUGUUGGCAUCUCGUAUUAAGGCCAAGCAAACAGGUCUAAUGAGUGUUACUGCAUAUUCUUUCGUGAAAAUUUUUAACCCCAAGGUCUGCUGUAAUGCCCUAAACAUGUAGCAUUUUUUAAUUGCACAAACAAUGUCUGCAUACUUUAGAGCAACAAUUACCCUUUUAGGGUGCACUCCCUCCAAAUGUCAUGCAGCCCAGGUUGCCUUUUCAUUAUAAUAUUGAAAUGCAAGCCCUUUUGAUAGCAAACCAUGAAACACUGUGCUAAUAUAGAGUACGCACACAAAAAUGACAAUAUUGUCACGCAGCAAAAGUGCUUUCAACCAUUCCUGAAAGAGCUCACUCACUAUAAGCAUCGCCAUUUGAAUUUGUGGCAGUCAGCCCCAUGUUCUUCAACAGGAUUUUGCCAAGAGAACUAAUUCUGUAUAUUAUGCUUCAGAGUAUGCAAAACAAAGCAGGCUAUUGGGCUACUGCUGUAAUUAAAUAAUGUGCAGUGAACCACAAUGUUUUACAGACCAUGGGACCUGAGAAAAUGUAGAAUUUCUGAGAAGUGACUAUAAAAACCAUACAGUGCUAUCUGUUUCAUGGUUAGCACGCAACGUUGGGGAAGCUACCAAAUUAGUACAGUCUUGCUCCACAUGUUUGCAGUUCAUUUGUUUUUGAUCUGCAAUGCUUUCUACGAAACAACUACUUCAUACAUUAACGCAAUAGCAUUAAGAGCCCCCUGUCGCAGAAAAUCCGACGGCGGCGGCAUUGUCCAUUAGAGAAAAAUCAUCCCCUAUAUAUUUAGGUAUACGUAUAUGCCACCCCUUGCUAUAUGGCAUGCGGUAUAUGCGGGUUAGAUUGCCACACCAUUCUAUCACUAAAGUUGCUCAUACCUUGCCUUACAUUCUUGAAAAAGUUGUUCCUCGGAAUUUUGAGAAUGACAGCCCGCAAACAAAUGUUACGAAACAAAACACCGAAAGCGCAUGCCUUUUAUGUUAAAUCUUCUCAGACCUAGCUUUAAAAGUGCGAAACAAUAACAGAAACCUGAAAAUGAUGUAAUUUUCUUGGCACGGCUGUGCGCUACCUCCAGGAUCGACCCACACAAGAGGCUGCAUUUCUACCAGAAAGCCCACCUUCGUGCAUAGCGGUCGCCACCAGCAUUUUCUGGUAAACAUUACGGUUACAUAAGCUGCAGUUGCCGGGAACCAUGAGAAGCAGUCAGAUAUCUUUGAAUGCUAUCGCGUUCCACUCUUAAAGGCGAAGCUUAAGCGUUCUCCAAGUUUUGCAAGUGCAACUUGUGAGCGUAACAUUUACUAAUAUUAUGUUUAUUCGUGAGUUAUUUGUGCACAUUUGUGCUUUGAGUAUGCGACUUUGUUUUGGUCGCGAGGGCUUGCUGCGCUGUGGCUGCUCAUCACAGAAACAUGUCAUUCCAAUCAUUUGGGGGGUAAAUAUAUUCAGGUUUGCAACGUAAAUGUUCAUGUGAUAAUUACAUCAUACUUUAUACACCAAGAGUAUCAGACUUAACGUUACAUCGAAUUUCACGAUGCAUGCCUGUGUUACUUUCAUAUGUGACACAGUACUUUUUGUUUGUAAAUGUGUGAGACAAGACCCUUUAAGAGACGGAGUAUAUAUACACUGUUCACAUGCUGUACUAGUACAGGCUAGAAAUCUCAAUACCAAGGCCACAUUCCUACGCUGUGGACAUAUUCAGUUCUUUCCCAGAUCCUGUGGUCCGUAAAAUGUUGCAGUUGAGUGUACAUUGUACAAAAACCAGGAACACUUGCAACCUCCGUCACAUUGGCAUACCUGAGAGCCAAAAUGUUCUGUAUUGAUCGAUAACAGGGGGCAGCCCCUCAGUACACACUGCUUCCCAGCAGUGGUAAAACAGCAGUGUCUGUAGAGUCAGCCUCUUGUGCAGAAAUCCAAAUCUUGUGAGGUCAUUGGUCUUCCUUACUGCUGUACACAUUCGCUGUUAGAAUGCGCUUGCUGCUUCCAUUAGAAAAGAUUAGUGCAAGCACAGAGAGCGAGAAAGAGAGAGAUGCAUAUUUACAUGCCAGAAUGUGUUCACAAUAUAUUAGGUAGGCGGUGGCCAAAGGUGGUUCGUGUUACUCAUCGCUCAUUCGUAUGUCUCGGUGUUCACUGUGGUGGCUAACAGCAUUCCAAGACAGUGUCAAAGAGAGGUAGUCGAGGAGAUUGUGCCCAUUUAUUGGCGACCGGUUGUGGGGUUUGUGGCAAUAACUGCCGAGCACUUCUGUCGGUGUAGAAAACUGACCACAAGGCACAGCAUUCCUCGCCAUAGUGUGGACUGCACACAGUAAUGGAUGCCAGUCGCAAGUGUUUUGCUGAGACUGCAUGUCUUGGGGGUUCCGCCUGUCACAUGCUUCCUGGUCUGUUGGUGUCAGGUGUGUCAGUGGGCAGAUGCUCUUGCUACGAAUUGCAUUUUAAUUUUAGUCUUGAAAAUUUCGAGUACUAGUAACUAUGUGAACAGCCUAAUACAUCUACUAUGCCCUUGUGUGCACAUGCCCUAUGUGAGCAGGUCAAACCAGAAUUCAAGCUCGGACAGCUUAACUCAAACUCAACGUCUACACAAACUAGAUCAUGGUGGGCUAAAAUAGCAACUGCAGUCUGUGGUGAUGUAGGAUAACAAAGCGCACAAACAGCAAAUUUAGUUUCAUGCAAGUUCCUUGAUGCUUGUGCUGAAAGUGAUGAGCAAUCGUUUCUUGUAGCCAAGACUGGAAAUGUUCAUGAUUGAUUGCUAGGUGGUGCAUGACACCAAAUUUUGCACAACCAUUGACUACCUUUUGCUGUAAGCAGGUUGUGCGACUUUUCCUCCAGUACUUGUAACAGAAGGGUCAUCUAUGAUAUAUUGAUACUACAGAAUUGUCUCAUUAUUUUGUCGAGAAAGUAAUUCCAGCCAAGAAAUUUAAGACCAUGUUCGAUGUGAGCAGUGUCGGGGGAUGAGUAAACCAUUUUUCCCCUUGAACAAACAAGCACUGACAAUAAACUUAAAAUGUUGGCCACUACAUCCCAGGUCUAUGAGCUUUCUUGGGUUCUGAUACGUAUUGACACAUUUCUUGGAACUUAAAUCAAAUAAAUUCCCACCAUAUCUAGAUAAUGCUUCUAGAAGAUAAGCCAUCCUAGGGCCGUAUUCUGAAACGUUCCACUUCGGACGAAAUUUCUUUUUCGCUUUCAGGCGCGUGAUGAUUGGCUGUUUUAGCAAAAUUGGAUGAGCUGAUUAGAUGGUUGAGCCCAACGUCAUUCGAGUUUGCUCAACCAGCCAAUUAGCGCGCGCCUGGAAGCGAAAAAAGAAAUUUCGCCGAAGUGGAACGUUUCAGAAUACGGCCCCCUGUGUCUGAUUAUCGUCCUCGACCAAAAUGCAUCUUGGAGCGUGAGAAUCUGUGCUCCAUCUACUCUCUUGGCCUUAAUGAAUAUUGGCAAAAGUGAUGAGAUGAUCUUCGAUUGGUACCCUACAACUUUUAUGGCACACUGGUGCACUUCUAGUGGCACAGGGACUGCUAGAAAAAUUCUGAGCCUCCAGCAUAGUCUUGCAUCAUUAUCAUACAUUUGUUCACAUAGUGUGAGAAAUUAUGGGAAAUAAAGCUGACUGAUUAAUUGCAAUGUAACCUUCAUACACUACUGUUUCAUGCUGCUUCUUGCACAAGAGCAGUCUUUAUGGAUUUGAAUUGAACUUAUUUGCAAAAAUCUUACGGGAGAUUAGGCAAAAGGCUCAUCAAACAAGUUUUUGAUAUGAUAGGCCAGUACAGGAUUGUAGCCAAUCACAUGGCCAGAGAGAGCAUAGCCUAGUCACACGCAGGCCACAUAUUGCUCCCACAGCCUCACAAAUCUUGGCCCUGGAGUUUGAUUCAGUAUGUCAUACUAACACGUUGAAGCAUGAGCAUCUGCCUUCUGCACCGACAUUGUUUUGGCUGAGCGUUAUGCUUGAUCCUGUGUCUGGCUUUCACUGGUAGCGCAGCCGAUGCCUUGCACAGGGAUGAUAGGAAAGCUUCCAGAUAGGGCUUUUGACAGUUUACACAUGUACCUGAACAAGAGAAAUCAUGAUUAGUCGUCAGUCAUGAUUGUCCGUCAAUGCAUGUAGUUCUUGCCACACACCAGCUUACACUAAUAGUACAGUAUAUACUAUGUGCGACACCUGUACCGUAUGGCUUGUGCCAAAGGUGUUUUCAGCAUUGAGACAGUCGUGCUGUGCUGUCUUCCUGUUUCUUUUCUUUUUUUUUUCAGGUGCUCGCAUAUCCAUCUUUGUUUGCUUACGUGCAUGUUCCAAGAGUUGUCAGUGUGCUCGCUCGGUGUGUGUGCGACUCUGUAGGAGCAUGCCAUCAAAGGAAGGCACGAGUCAAGAAAUAAAGGGUCACUGUGAAAAAGAA